AUGGAUGCUCUUCCACCUUCCUGACAAUGAAGUUCUUAGUCCCAGCUGCUGGGGAGCUGAGGCAGGAGAACCGCUUGAACCCAGGAGGCAGAGGUUGCAGUGAUCCAAGAUCGCGCCACGGCACUCAAGCCUGGAUGACAGAGUGAGACUCAGCCUCGGGAAAAAAAAAAAAGACAAUGAAGUUCCUUUCAUUUUGGGGGAAAAUAGAAAAAGGAGAAAAGAGGACGGGCACAGUGGCUCAUGCCUGUAUUCCCAGCACUCUGGGAGGCCGAGAUGGGUGGAUCACUUGAGGUCAGGAGUUCGAGACCAGCCUGGCCAACAUGGCAAAACUCCAUCUCUAGUAAAAUUACAAAAAUUAGCCGGGUGUGGUGGCAUGCACCUGUAGUCCUAGCUACUUGGGAGGCUGAGGCAGGAGAAUAGCUUGAACCCGGGAGGGUGGAGGUUGCAGUGAGUCAAGAUUGCGCCACUGUACUCCAGUCUGGACAACAGAGCAAGGCUCCAUCUCAAAAAAAGAAAAAAGAAAAGAAAAAGGAAAAAAGCUGGAGGAUGCAGGAAAGGACUCUAUAGGAACUUCCAAGGCCUCCUUGGCUGGUGACCUGGCUUUGGCCUCCGCUGCCUCCUACAGCCAGGCAAGCUGCCAUCCUCUUCCACUGGGGAAAAAGGGGUGCCUUGUUUUUCUUCCCUGAUAGCCAGACAGGCGAGAGCAGAGAGGCAGCUGCAAAAGCUUCCUCGGUGCCUCAUACUCAUGGACUCCAUCUAAAAGUAACUCCUCACCCCCAACCAUCAUAUGGCUGCUAAUAUUAGUGCUCAUUUUUCCACUGAGGAAACAGAAACUUAGAGAGGUGGAUCUGUCCAGGGUCAUUUCCACAAUGAGGACAGGAGGCAGGAAGCAGGCUCCAUCCUAGUGAUGGACACCUAAGUCCCUGUUUUUUCAUUUGCACAACCAUUUGAAGGAGAAUCCUGUGUUUUUUGUUACACCAUACUGCUCAAAAAUUUCUAUCAAACUAUAGCAAAGAUUCCUUUCCUUCCUUUAAAAAAUGUUGAAGGGAAAUGUCUUAGACUUGAGUAUCUUGAUUUAUAGUCGAUAUACAGCAGUUUAGCCCUUGAAUAUGGCCAAUGACGUGUUGCAGCAAGCUGAGCACUUCUAUUACAUGCAAAGACUCUGACUGCAAACAUCCAAGUGGGCAAGGGAUUAUCAAGUUUAGCAAUGGACUAACCAAAAACUGCAUUCGUGUGGAACUGACCACAAGCUUUACAUUAUGCUUUUGCUCCUUUCUUGCUCAUUACCCAUUGUAUAACAAAAUAUGCCCAGACUUGGGCUUUAAUAAAAAAUUUCUUAGCUCUCAAUUUUUUGUGGUUUGAUUGGUCUUAGCUAGGUGGCUCUUGCUUAGGGUCUUUCAUAAAGUUGCAGUCAGGUGGUGGCUGGGGCUGCAGUCACCUGGUGGGUCAGCUUGGCUGAACACCUACCAUGGCACACUCCUAUGGCCUAAACCCCAAGGAUAAAGAGAAUGAGAGU
rnacentral:lncRNA from 10 species